CAGCCAGCUGGAGGUUUCCAAGUGGCCAUCCAUAUCCAACUAACCGAUAAGUGUAGAAAGACCAAUAUAACCUUCAUAACUUGUACACGUGACACACGAUUUCACACUGACAUAGUACAUUACCACUGCGAGAGAAUUAGCUAGGAAAUUCUCCAUCACUUUUCAGAAUCAAUCCUCGGAUCAGCAACAAUUCGUUGUUUCAGUCGGGGAAAUCGCUUUUCAAAGAAGAAUUUAUACCUCGUUGAUUACUAUUCUCGUGUUGCCUUUUCCAACUCUAAUACGAUGGAAUGGCUCUGUGUUCGGAUCAACUUUCCAUUCAACCUCGUCUUCUCUCUUCUUCUGAUCAUCUUGGUCAACCUUCCAAGGUCAGCCAUUGAUCCCAUGGCAGAUCUCCUAAAACUCAAAAAGUCUGGCAAGCAUGAAUUUUCAAAUUUCAUUGCAGCAGAAGGACGCAAAAAUGGAAAACUUCUUGUGUGAAUUCACCUCAUGCUUUCUUGGAUAAGAAUAGAGAAAUCGCAUUCUACGUGAAGAAACCGUGCUUCUCUCUUGUUAUUUGCAGCUCCAAGAAAAUGAUUAGAUGGGUGAAGCCUGAGGUAAAUCAUCUUACAUUUCUUUACCAGCAAUUUAUAUUUUCUUAAGGCCCUUGUCAAUUUGGAAUUAUUCAGUUGUUGAAGAGAAGAUCUGAACUUGGGCUGGUGUUGGAUUACAUUUAAAUAAUUAAAUGUUUACACCUUCUAAACGAUAGAAUUAAACCAAUCAUUUAUUGUAGUAACUUUAAUAAUCUUCCUCUAUUAAAUGUAAAUAUUGGAGUAUCUUUUCUUUUAUUGAAACAUUCCAUACUCUCCCUUCUGCAAUUUGGUGUAUUUAGCUUACUGUUUUUCAAUUAAAUAAUUUAUAGUUGUGGAAUUUCAGGCUUUUUCUAUAUGCCUAUAAAAUAUGAAUAAAGCAGUCAGAUAGGCUAAAAACAUGGAUUUAAAGACAGAUUGAUUUGGCAGAAAGUGGUU